rnacentral:lncRNA from 13 species
UUUUUUUUUUUUUUUUUUUUUUUUUUUUUUUUUUUUUUUUUUUUUUUUUUUUUUUUUUUUUUUUUUUUUUUUUUUUUUUUUUUUUUUUUUUUAGAUGGAGUCUUGCUCUGCCACCCAGGCUAGAAUGCAGUGUCACAAUCUUGUCUCUGUGCAAACUCCGCCUCCUGUGUUCAAGGGAGUCUCCUGCCUCAGCCUCUGGAGUAGCUGGGAUUACAGGGCUUGUCAAAAUCCUACUCUUUUACUCACCUUACCAACACUCGGAGGCAUGACUUAUGUCUGAAACAAAACUACAAGAGCCAGUGUUUAUACACAAAAAUCUUGGAAUACUCUUGUUUUCAUUUCUUCUGUUGCAGCUUUUCUGGGAGCACCACUGUCUUCCAAAAACAAAUAAAAUGACUAAGAUUACAUUAAUUUGCA